rnacentral:rRNA from 1 species
GACGAACGCUGGCGGCGUGCUUAACACAUGCAAGUCGAGCGGUAAGGCUCCUUCGGGAGUACACGAGCGGCGAACGGGUGAGUAACACGUGAGCAAUCUGCCCUUCUCAUCGGAAUAACCAUUGGAAACGAUGGCUAAUGCCGAAUAUGACCUCGGAUCACAUGUUCUGAGGUGGAAAGCUCCGGCGGAGAAGGAUGAGCUCGCGGCCUAUCAGCNGUUGGUGAGGUAAUAGCUCACCAAGGCGAUGACGGGUAGCCGGCCUGAGAGGGUGACCGGCCACAC